AUGCCGGUCGUGCGGCCUCCCCGAGCUGUCGCGGGCCACCAUUAUUUGCGACGCCUGCGAACAUGGGUUCCCCGAAUCCUGCGUCCACAUCUUGGGUCCGCUUAUGCGCCAGCCUCCGCCACAACCGCUGCCCAGCCGCCCUGGUGUGUAGUUGCGGCGGCCUCCGGUAGCGGUGACCCAAGACUGGAUGGGCAAGAGUGGUCAGAUUCUGGUCAAAAUUGUGAUGCAGGUAGUGUGGGUGAUGAAGAUGUGUCAGAAUCAAAGAAGCCAGCCCCUGAUAUUGAUAGUACUAAAUGUGAGGAAACAUCUUCUGCAACAGGCAAGCCAAAAGGAUUGCUAACUAUUAACAGUAGCUUGGUUCCGGAGUCAUCAUUGAGGCCUGUUACAGGAAGAAACUCACAUAUCCUAAAGCAGCAAAAGAUAAAUUUGCUUGAUAUACAUGCAGCGUUGCCUGAGGAAGCUUCGAGAGCCUCAAAAUCUCAACAAAUUAGAAGGCGUUCACGGCGUGCUUUUGUCAAGCAUGCACAAUCAAUAUCGGAGAUGGUAGUGGCGACCAGUGUGUUGGAGAGGAUGAUAAAAUCCGAAUUCCUCAUGAAUGAUUGGUGGUACUGGUCCUCCUUAACAGUAGCUAUCAAGACAUCAACUGUAUCCUCGCUCGCUCCCAGGAUCCACACUCUCGACGACUGUAUCAUGUACACCAAGGAGCCUAACGCCGUGCCGGCUGACAGUACAAAGGUUGUAAACAAGGGGAGGAGGGGGAAAGAGCCAGAACCAUCAUCGUCGUAA
rnacentral:rRNA from 1 species